rnacentral:lncRNA from 1 species
UUGUAUCACCCAAGUAAGGUCAAUGUAGUAGCAGAUGCCCUAAGUAGAUUGUCCAUGGGUAGUGUUUCUCAUGUUGAAGAUGGAAAGAAAAAGUUAGUUUAGGAAGUUCAUCAUCUUGCCAUAUUAGGUGUUUGUUUGGUUGAUUUAGCUGAGGGUAGCGUUUAGGUUUAGAAUAGUUUGGAAUCUUCUUUGGUUGCCAAAGUGAAUGAAAAGUAAGAUA